rnacentral:lncRNA from 1 species
GAGAAGAAGAGAACACAAGGAAAUUUCACUAUUUAAGCUAGGACCAUCUUUGCCUAAGCAAGAAUUCAAGGGGCCUUAGUAUAAGAAAGGAUGCAAAACUUCAACAAAGCCCUGCUGGCCAAACCAAAAUAGCAUGGAGAACAGCAAACAAUCAAAGUUGGCUCUUAAAAGAAACCUUGGUCAGGAAAUACUGUGCAACUAAAAACUUCCUCGAAAGACAGGAACAAUGGGAAGAUUCUUAGAAGUGGAAAAUCAUAUUGAAGAGGAAAGAGGUUAGCAGGAAUAACAUCACAUGGCACAAUGUUAGCAAAUGGAAAGAAAUGAAUCAGACAGAGACACCUAGCCAAGGAAUAAUUAGAAAUGAGAUAUGUAACAUGGAUAUGCAAAGAUGGUGGGAUAUAAAGAUCGUUUCCGAAGGACCUACGAAGCUAAGAUGGAAACAUACUCACAAUGGAUAUUUUUUAGUCAAAC